AGCUUUUUAGUGGUGGAUUGUACUUCUCUUGGUCUGUUCCUGGUUAUCAGGAGGGAAAUUGAUUAGUAAUCUUGCUGUGACUUUGACAGUGUAUAAUCGGGAUUUAACUGCUAACAAGAACUCAGUUUCUCAUCUGUGGUCCUUCCCAUAAGAAAAUCAGUUUAAGUACAGAGAUACUGGGGAAAAAGAGUUUACUGUCACCCUUAUGCAAACUACAUUAAGACAGAGCAAAUUCCUCAGUCCCAUCGUAUGCAAAAUUACUGAAAUUUAAAGCAGGGCUCUGAGCCUCAGUUCUGUUUUGACAUUACCACUGAAUGGUGAAAAACAUCUCACAUAUGCAGUGUAGAAAACUGUAUUCUGGAGCUCUUUAUCAUAAAGAGUAUUCUUGAACAUUUUGAAUUAGUCAGUUGUUGUCAGUAUUAUUGCUACUCUUGAUGUACUUAUUUCAUAACUUGUUUCAUGUUUCUGAAUCACCUGAACUGGGAAGGUGACAUCCUUUUUCUGUAGUUUCAAGGAUCAUGUAUAGCUCACUUAGCAGUAACUUGAUUUGUCCUUAACUUGGGUUUUCCCCAGACGUUCCUUGCUAAUGUGAUCUUUUAAUACCUUCUAAUUGUUCCCGUUGUAAACCAAUAAGCUGGUCAUUCUGUAUUCUUGUAUUCCUUCCCAUGCACACUUUAGACAGUCUGCCACUUGCAGUUCCAAGACAAUUGCUGUCUCAGUUCUGUUUUAUCAAGACUUUUCAGUCCAGUUUUCUAAUUCACUUGUCUUUACAACUGCUUCUCUGCAGAUACCAGUUGGGGUCCUGCUCCUCUCUGUUAUAAAAUGAAUAUUUUUGUUUUCCUCACAAAUUUGCCAUUAACUUGAAUUCUGGUUUGGCUAGUGUGUGGAAGUCAGUUUCCCCUCUUUUGUAGCUGUGAGUUUUAUUCCUCUAUGGAUGUAUGUCUCCUUUCCUAGAGUAGUUUGAGCUACAUCUAACUGCUACAAUCUGGAAUAGAAAUUUUACUGAAAGAAAUGUUUUUCAACUAAAUGCUGAGUUUUCUUUUCAAAUGCUAAUACAGAUAAUUUCUAGCUUUUACUUAGUUUUUGGAAAUCACGUACUGCUGUCCAAGAAACAGCUUGUAGCACUGUCUGUAUGCCUCAUGAUUACAUCUGAAGAUCCUACUUGAGUUUUAUUGGAAAUAUUAUCAAUAAAGAAAUUGCAUUUGGUUCAGUUAAAU
ensembl:lncRNA